UAUUGGGUGUGUAUAGGGUGUGUGUAUAGGGUGUGUAUAUAGGGUGUGUGUAUUGGGUGUGUGUAUAGGGUGUGUGUAUUGGGUGUGUGUAUAAGGUGUGUGUAUUGGGUGUGUAUAUAGGGUGUGUGUAUAGGGUGUGUGUAUAGGGUGUGUGUAUAGGGUGUGUAUAGGGUGUGUGUAUAGGGUGUGUGUAUUGGGUGUGUAUAUAGGGUGUGUGUAUAGGGUGUGUGUAUAGGGUGUGUAUAUAGGGUGUGUGUAUAGGGUGUGUGUAUAGGGUGUGUAUAUAGGGUGUGUGUAUAAGGUGUGUGUAUUGGGUGUGUAUAUAGGGUGUGUGUAUAGGGUGUGUGUAUAGGGUGUGUAUAUAGGGUGUGUGUAUAGGGUGUGUGUAUAGGGUGUGUAUAUAGGGUGUGUGUAUAGGGUGUGUGUAUAGGGUGUGUGUAUAGGGU
ensembl:lncRNA